GACGAACGCUGGCGGCGUGCUUAACACAUGCAAGUCGAACGAUGAACUUGGAGCUUGCUCUGGGGGAUUAGUGGCGAACGGGUGAGUAACACGUGAGUAGCCUGCCCUGGACUCUGGGAUAACUUCGAGAAAUCGGAGCUAAUACCGGAUAGGACCUUGCACCGCAUGGUGUGGGGUGGAAAGUUUUUCGGUUUGGGAUGGACUCGCGGCCUAUCAGCUUGUUGGUGAGGUAAUGGCUCACCAAGGCGUCGACGGGUAGCCGGCCUGAGAGGGUGACCGGCCACACUGGGACUGAGACACGGCCCAGACUCCUACGGGAGGCAGCAGUGGGGAAUAUUGCACAAUGGGCGCAAGCCUGAUGCAGCAACGCCGCGUGCGGGAUGACGGCCUUCGGGUUGUAAACCGCUUUUAGUAGGGAAGAAGCCUUCGGGUGACGGUACCUGCAGAAAAAGGACCGGCUAACUACGUGCCAACCGCCGCAGUAACAC
rnacentral:rRNA from 1 species